UACGUAGGGGGCAAGCGUUGUCCGGAAUCAUUGGGCGUAAAGCGCACGUAGGCGGCCUGUUAAGUCGGAUGUGAAAGCCCCGGGCUCAACCCGGGAAGUGCAUACGAAACUGGCAGGCUUGAAUAUGGAAGAGGGUCGCGGAAUUCCCGGUGUAGAGGUGAAAUUCGUAGAUAUCGGGAGGAACACCAGUGGCGAAGGCGGCGACCUGGGCCAAUAUUGACGCUGAGGUGCGAAAGCGUGGGGAGCAAACAGG
rnacentral:rRNA from 1 species